rnacentral:rRNA from 1 species
GUCUACCACCAUACCACCCUGAACAAGCCCAAUCCUGUCUGAUCUCGGAAGCUAAGCAGAGUCAAGUCUGGUUAGUACUUGGAUGGGAGAACCACCUAGGAAGACCAGGUGUUGUAGGUA